rnacentral:rRNA from 1 species
GGUCAGGACGAACGCUGCGGNAUGCCUAACACAUGCAAGUCGAACGGAGUUUAAUUGACAGAAGCCUUCGGGCAGAAGACAAUUAACUAGUGGCGACGGGUGAGUAACGCGUGGAUAACCUGCCUUAUAGAGGGGGACAACAGUUGGAAACGACUGCUAAUACCGCAUAAGGUCUCGAGACCGCAUGAUCUUGAGAAGAAAGAUGGCCUCUGAAAAUGCUAUCGCUAUAAGAUGGAUCCGCGUCUGAUUAGCUGGUUGGUGAGGUAACGGCUCACCAAGGCAACGAUCAGUAGCCGGCCUGAGAGGGUGAACGGCCACAUUGGGACUGAGACACGGCCCAGACUCCUACGGGAGGCAGCAGUGGGGGAUAUUGCACAAUGGGGGAAACCCUGAUGCAGCGACGCCGCGUGGAGGAAGAAGGUUUUCGGAUUGUAAACUCCCUGUCCGUUAGGGACGAUAAUGACGGUACCUAACAAGAAAGCACCGGCUAACUACGUG